GAAAUGCGAUAAGUAAUGUGAAUUGCAGAAUUCAGUGAAUCAUCGAAUCUUUGAACGCACAUUGCGCCCGCCAGUAUUCUGGCGGGCAUGCCUGUUCGAGCGUCAUUUCAACCCUCAGGCCCCCAGUGCCUGGCGUUGGGGAUCGGCGCGGCGCCCUCCGGGGCGCUGCCGGCCCCGAAAUUCAGUGGCGGUCUCGCUGUAGCCCUCCUCCGCGUAGUAGCACAACCUCGCGGCCUGGAGCUCGGCGGUGGCCAUGCCGUAAAACACCCCACUUCUGAAAGUUGACCUCGGAUCAGGUAGGAAUACCCGCUGAACUUAA
rnacentral:misc_RNA from 1 species